rnacentral:lncRNA from 1 species
GAGAGAGAGAGAGAGAGAGAGAGACACAGAGACCCAGGCAGAGGGAGAAGCAGGCUCCAUGCACCGGGAGCCUGACAUGGGAUUCGAUCCCGGGUCUCCAGGAUCGCGCCCUGGGCCAAAGGCAGGUGCUAAACCGCUGCACCACCCAGGGAUCCCCAAAAUAUAUUUUUAAAUUCAAAUCCAGUUUGCCGACAUACGGUGUAACACCCAGCGACGUGUGCCCCAGGUCUUCUCUGGCCGCUCAACUAACGGGCCGGGCGCACAGCCCCGUACCUGGCGUACCUGGCGGCCGGGAAGGCGUGCAGGGAAGGAAAGAGCAACAUGACGCUGUCACUGUGCGGCUGACACUAGUGGAGAGGUGUCCCCGCCAAGCCUGGAGCUCAUCCCGCGGGGCUCCCUCUCUCCAGGCGGGCAACGUGGACCGGCUGCGGGGAGUCACCCCCUGGCUGCAGACCGCUGGCACCUUGGAGCUGGAGCUGCUCAGCACCAACAACACAUCUUCAUCCUCCACAAGGGCGAAGGGGAAGCUGGAGGGGGUUGAGGAACAGGAACCUCAGGGCCGCGGCUGACCCCAGGGCCAGGCUGCAGGGGCGAGCAUGGCAGGCUUCCUCCCAAGUCACCGUGCUCGUCCCGGCCGGCGUCACUCCCGGCGCCCUGAAGCCUGGGUUCUAAAUAUAGAUUGUGUAUUUUGUUAAGCUCUUCAGUUUGCUUUCUAACUUCAGUAAAAAGAUGUAAGCGGGAGAAAAAUGAUCUGUCAAAGGAAUUUAAAAGCAAAUGGAUUCAAGUACACAAUGUGGUGUUACCACAGCCUGGGACAAAGGAAGAGUGGCCGCAAGAGGGGAGGCCGAUGGUGGCCAGUGGGCCGCAGAACUGGACUUCAAUUCACCGUAUGAACUGAGCCCACUGCUGCCUAGCAGGAGCGUCCCAUUGACAUGGGGUAUGGCUCCCGGUGAGGUAUAGGACAUAAGGGUUGGGGGUGCCUGGCGGGGCUCGGUCAGUCAAGUGUCUGCGGUGGGCCCAGGUCAUGGGAUCGGGCCUCCCCUUGGGCUCCCUGCCCAGCGGGGGGUCUGCUUUUCCCUCUCCCUCUGAGCCUCCUCCCUCGCCGCUUGUGCUUUCUCUCUCUCUCUCUCCCUCUGUCUCAAAUAAAUAAAUAAAGCCUUAAAAAAAUAAGAUAAAAGUUAAAGUUGGCACCGGGAAUUUUCCUGAAGACUGUCACUUGUGUUUGUCUACGGACAGAUGUGUUUUAUGUUUGGACUCUGGGCGCUCCGAGGCCAGCAAGCUGCUGGGGCCCUGCAAUUAGCAGAGGUGUGAGAAAGGGCAAGUGGUGUCUGUGAUGGAGCAACGAUCGCGUCCGUCUCCCCUGGCCCUUUUCCCAUCUCUUUUUCUUGUAGUGGUGCUCAUGCCCCGUCUUUUUUUUUUUUUUUUCCCCCGUCUUUAUUAUAUAACCCAACCGACUUAAACAGCAAUAUUUCAGACAACAGACUAAGCUGGGGGAAUGGUACUGGGCUGGUGAGCAAAGUGUGAGGAGGGAGCUCUUAUCUGGCACCUUCCAUGAAUCGCACUGUUGAGCCACCAGCCGUUGGCCCCAGAUGUGGAGUAGGCCUUGAUGCAGUUGAAUCAACUGUGAGUAAAAGAUGCACUAGUUUUAAUUUCCUGUGACUCAUUAAGAAAGCCCUGUUGGGCAAACUUUGCUUCCAAGGCCAAACCUGUGAGCUCACGCAUUUUGACUCUGCCCGUGGGCACGGCUGGAAGAGGUGACUUGGGCCACCAGACAGCUCUCUUCAGUCACAAGUCAUUGUGGGGUGACAUAUUGGAAAAUAUGGGCUCAGGUUUAUCUUUACUGGACCCAAAUUGGCCCGCGUAUGUUACUGACUUCAAACCCCUCCGUUCCACAAGCACUUACAAGGCAGACGCGGGAGUUGUACACAGGAGUGGGGAACGGUCAAGUCGCAGCUCUUACCUUUCUUGAAUUAGGGAACGGCGUUGCAUGGCCAAGGUUUUGCUGCAGCACAGACCCCAAAGGAGCCGCAUCGUUUUGCACUUAACAACCAUGAAGUCUUUUAUUGCAUAUAUAAACGUUCCCAGAGGCUAUUACUCAAAAGGGUUCAGCUAAUAAAG